rnacentral:tRNA from 1 species
GGGGCCGUAGCUCAGCUGGGAGAGCGCUUGAAUGGCAUUCAAGAGGUCAGCGGUUCGAUCCCGCUCGGCUCCA